GACGAACGCUGGCGGCGUGCUUAACACAUGCAAGUCGAACGGAAAGGCCCUGCUUUUGUGGGGUGCUCGAGUGGCGAACGGGUGAGUAACACGUGAGUAACCUGCCCUUGACUUUGGGAUAACUUCAGGAAACUGGGGCUAAUACCGGAUAGGAGCUCCUGCUGCAUGGUGGGGGUUGGAAAGUUUCGGCGGUUGGGGAUGGACUCGCGGCUUAUCAGCUUGUUGGUGGGGUAGUGGCUUACCAAGGCUUUGACGGGUAGCCGGCCUGAGAGGGUGACCGGCCACAUUGGGACUGAGAUACGGCCCAGACGGCUACGGGAGGCAGCAGGGGGGAAUAUUGCACAAUGGGCGGAAGCCUGAUGCAGCAACGCCGCGUGCGGGAUGACGGCCUUCGGGUUGUAAACCGCUUUCGCCUGUGACGAAGCGUGAGUGACGGUAAUGGGUAAAGAAGCACCGGCUAACUACGUG
rnacentral:rRNA from 1 species